rnacentral:rRNA from 1 species
CCUACGGGUGGCAGCAGUAGGGAAUUUUCGGCAAUGGGCGAAAGCCUGACCGAGCAACGCCGCGUGAACGAAGAAGGUCUUCGGAUUGUAAAGUUCUGUUAUCGAGGAAGAACGGUGUACGUAGGAAAUGGCGUACAAAUGACGGUACUCUGUGAGGAAGCCACGGCUAACUACGUGCCAGCAGCCGCGGUAAUACGUAGGUGGCGAGCGUUAUCCGGAUUUAUUGGGUUUAAAGGGUGCGUAGGCGGAUCGUUAAGUCAGUGGUCAAAUUGAGGGGCUCAACCCCUUCCCGCCAUUGAAACUGGCGAUCUUGAGUGGAAGAGAAGUAUGCGGAAUGCGUGGUGUAGCGGUGAAAUGCAUAGAUAUCACGCAGAACCCCGAUGGCGAAGGCAGCAUGCCGGCUUCCGACUGACGCUGAAGCACGAAAGCGUGGGGAUCGAACAGGAUUAGAUACCCUUGUAGUC